AUUGAACGCUGGCGGCAGGCCUAACACAUGCAAGUCGAGCGAGCGGCGGACGGGUGAGUAAUGUAUGGGGACUGCCCGUUAGAGGGGGAUAACUCUUGUAAACGGUGGCUAAUACCGCAUACUGUAUGAUAACCCAUAUGGGAUUAGCUAGUAGGGUAGGUAAUGGCUCACCUAGGCGACGCUCCCUAGCUGGUCUGAGAGGAUGAUCAGCCAACCUGGGACUGGGACACGGCCCAGACUCCUACGGAGGCAGGAGUGGGGAAUAUUGCACAAGGGGCGGAAGCCUGAUGCAGCCAUGCCGCGUGUAUGAAGAAGGCCCUAGGGUUGUAAAGUACUUUCAGUCGGGAGGCGUUACCGACAGAAGAAGCACCGGCUAACUCCGUGCCAGCAGCCGCGGUAAUAC
rnacentral:rRNA from 1 species